rnacentral:rRNA from 1 species
GACGAACGCUGGCGGCGCGCCUAACACAUGCCAGUCGAACGAGCGAGAGGAGGUUUACUUUCUCAAGCGAGUGGCGAACGGGUGAGUAACGCGUGAGGAACCUGCCUCAAAGAGGGGGACAACAGUUGGAAACGACUGCUAAUACCGCAUAAGCCCACGACCCGGCAUCGGGUCGAGGGAAAAGGAGCAAUCCGCUUUGAGAUGGCCUCGCGUCCGAUUAGCUAGUUGGUGAGGUAAUGGCCCACCAAGGCGACGAUCGGUAGCCGGACUGAGAGGUUGAACGGCCACAUUGGGACUGAGACACGGCCCAGACUCCUACGGGAGGCAGCAGUGGGGAAUAUUGCACAAUGGGGGAAACCCUGAUGCAGCGACGCCGCGUGGAGGAAGAAGGUCUUCGGAUUGUAAACUCCUGUUGUUGAGGAAGAUAAUGACGGUACUCAACAAGGAAGUGACGGCUAACUACGUG